rnacentral:lncRNA from 1 species
AUUUGGUUUGGGGUCCGAAGAAAUCCCCGUUUGAUUUCGAUUUGGGGUCCGAAGAAAUUCUCGUUUUGAUUUCGAUUUGGGGUCCGAAGAAAUUCCCGUUUUGGUUCUGAUUUGGUUUGGGGUCCGAAGAAAUCCCCGUUUGAUUUCGAUUUGAGGUUCGAAGAAAUCCCCGUUUUGAUCUUGAUUUGAUUUAGGGUCCGAAAAAAUUCCCAUUUGAUUUUGGUUUGGAUUGAAUCUGAGCCGGUUUGGGAGUUUGGUGGAUUGAUUCAAUGUUCUCGAAAGGGAUUGAAGGGUCCGAAGAAACGGGAAAUCUUUGAUUCCCCUCCCACCUUCUUUCGAAAAUACCGAACCGACGAUGUUGGAGAUGACGGCGGUGAAGAUGAUAUCGGUGGCGCGGAUCUGUUCGGCCGGUGAAUUUGGUUCGAUCUUUUCAAAAGAGAUUGAAGGAUCCGAAGAAACGAAAAAUCUUUGAUUCCCCUCCCCUCUUCUUUCGAAAAUACUGAACCGGCGAUGCUGGAGAUAACGACGGUGAAGAUGAUGUCGGUGGCUGGGAUUUGUAAGCCGGCAGAUUGAUUUGACAUUUUCGAAUGAUGUUGAAGGGUCCGAAGAAACAGAGAAUCUUUGAUU